rnacentral:rRNA from 1 species
GACGAACGCUGGCGGCGUGCUUAACACAUGCAAGUCGAGCGGAAAGGCCCUUUCGGGGGUACUCGAGCGGCGAACGGGUGAGUAACACUGUGAGUAAUCUGCCCUUCACUUGGGGAUAACUACCGGAAACGGUGGCUAAUACCCGAUACGACGUAGUCUCGCAUGAGAUCUGCGUGGAAAGUUUUUUCGGUGGGGGAUGUGCUCGCGGCCUAUCAGCUUGUUGGUGGGGUAAUGGCCUACCAAGGCUUCGACGGGUAGCCGGCCUGAGAGGGUGACCGGCCACACUGGGACUGAGACACGGCCCAGACUCCUACGGGAGGCAGCAGUGGGGAAUAUUGGACAAUGGGCGAAAGCCUGAUCCAGCAACGCCGCGUGAGGGAUGACGGCCUUCGGGUUGUAAACCUCUUUCAGCGGGGACGAAGCGCCGGUAAUGGUGGUGACGGUACCCGCAGAAGAAGCACCGGCCAACUACGUGCCAGCAGCCGCGGUAAUACGUAGGGUGCGAGCGUUGUCCGGAAUUAUUGGGCGUAAAGGGCUCGUAGGCGGUUUGUCGCGUCGGGAGUGAAAACACCGGGCUUAACUCGGUGCUUGCUUUCGAUACGGGCAGACUAGAGGCAUGCAGGGGAGAACGGAAUUCCUGGUGUAGCGGUGAAAUGCGCAGAUAUCAGGAGGAACACCGGUGGCGAAGGCGGUUCUCUGGGCAUGUCCUGACGCUGAGGAGCGAAAGUGUGGGGAGCGAACAGGAUUAGAUACCCUGGUAGUCCACACCGUAAACGUUGGGCGCUAGGUGUGGGGCCUAUUCCAUGGGUUCCGUGCCGCAGCUAACGCAUUAAGCGCCCCGCCUGGGGAGUACGGCCGCAAGGCUA